CCGGCUGCAGCACCUGCUCAGGUGCUCUAACAAUAAAGCGACUGUUCAUUCCUAUAGUGAGACACUCAGGCCAAAGCACAGCUCUAUUAGGACUAGGACCAGCAGAGUCCACAGGCUGAGGGAUUAGCACUCCAUUUAUGAUGAAGGACACGUCUCUCUAUUGGAUUAUUGGGUUGCUAAUGUCUUUUUCGGGAGGGGUUUUGCCCAAUGUCACGGUAGCUCCUGAAGGACAUGAACAGGACAUGAACAGGACUGAAGGACAUGAAAUGUCUGCCUUUUUUGUUUGCAUCAAAAUAACCAACCGGAAUUACAGUGAAUCACUCACCAACCAGACCUCACAGGAGUACACGGUACUGCGGCGUGAAGUGGAGAAUUUGUUCGAUGAUACCUACAGCCAUGUAUCAGACAUUCAGUUCACACGGAUUUCAGAAGUUACCUUCAGCAAUGGAUCUGUGAUCGCCAACAGCACAGCAUUGUUCGACACUAACCAAAUCGAUGGAGACAUAGUGAGAGACAUCUUUGUGUCAAAUUAUAAACGCUUUCCGUCCAGGACGCUGGAACUGAACAUCAGCUACACUGAAGGUUUAGAACCAGUGCGUACCUCAGUUCCUGUGGAGAUACGUAGUGACAAAACUACACACACUUCUACCACCAGCGUUUCACCAUCUACACACUCCUCCACAACACACUCUACCACAGAGUCGUCCACUCAUUCAACCCCUCAUACCACCCCACACUUCUCCACACACUCCACUGAUCAUACCACCACACACUCCUCCACACACUCCACUGACCAUACCACCACACACUCCUCCACACACUCCACUGAUCAUACCACCACACACUCCUCAACACACCCCACUGAUCAUACCACCCCACACUCCUCCACACACACCACUGAUCAUACCACCCCACACUCCUCCACACACACCACUGAUCAUACCACCCCACACUCUUCCACACACACCACUGAUCAUACCACCCCACACUCCUCGGCAGAGCCCUACACACACUCUCCUACAGGUUCAAGUCACACAGUCUCUGAACACAUCACUUCUCCAACCACAACAAAAAAUGAAACCCACACCAGCAACGGCACGAUUGUUCAUCCAGCGGACAAUUCCACCGUUCCUCACAAUGGAACCGAUAACGGCAAUGCUGGAGAGCACACCAGCUCAACAGCUUCCACUCACUCCCCUGCAAAUCCUACAAAAACUGAGAAGCCUUCAGGCCCCGAAGUGUCAACCACAACCCGCUCAACCACUGCAGACUCAGCAGCAGAGAAAGGUGUCCCCGGAUGGGGCGUGGCCCUGCUGGUGCUGGCGGCCAUCAUACUCUUCCUCCUCCUCCUCCUCUUCAUACUGCUGGUGAGUCUCACAUAGACUCCCGAUCAAACCAUUUAAAGAACUGUGCUGUAUUAAUCUUAUUAACUGCUCCUCACUUGCUGUGAAAGCCUUGCUGUAACAUAGUGGAUACUCUGCUCUACUCUUUGUACUGUACUGUAUGUUGAGAUAUUUAUGUACUGAUUGCUUCAUACACUCUAUAAAAGCUUU
rnacentral:lncRNA from 1 species